AGCGCGCGUAGGUGGUUUGUUAAGUUGGAUGUGAAAGACCCCGGGCCUCAACCUGGGAACUGCAUCCAAAACUGGCAAGCUAGAGUAUGGUAGAGGGUGGUGGAAUUUCCUGUGUAGCGGUGAAAUGCGUAGAUAUAGGAAGGAACACCAGUGGCGAAGGCGACCACCUGGACUGAUACUGACACUGAGGUGCGAAAGCGUGGGGAGCAAACAGGAUUAGAUACCCCAGU
rnacentral:rRNA from 1 species